GACCCCUUAAGUUGUAAACCCUAGCCCCCAUUAAUCUCCAAACCCUAAAAACGAAUUUCUUCACUCAAAGAACUUGAUUUCUUCUUUCUAACAAGUCCGGAUGCGAUUCAUUCCGCUAAGAAUAUGAUUUUACAUCCUACUCGCAAGAUCUACGCGAUUUCUACGUUGUGUUCUUCGUUGGAGGCUUGUGGAUUAAAUUAAAUUCGGUCCAGCCCCUUGAACCUUGGGUUAAUACAUUAUUUAUCUUAUUGAUCAUCAUCCUUAGACACGUCGACUGCUCGUGCUUCGGAGUCGAAACAAGUUUAGUUGCUUGCCAGGUUUUUCACGUGGAUUUGCAAGCAGUUUAUGAUUUGAAAGCUGGUCCACUCCGAUCUUUUGAUUCCUCGGAGGUUUUUAUGUUAUUUAAACUAGUUUCUGUUUUCAAACUCUUAGACCGCAGUAGAACUAGUUAUUUAUUUCAUUUGAUACUACACUUUGGGAUUGUCGAUAUAUUCGAUUAUUAUAUUUGGCAUGAUUACUCUGGAUUACGAUAUUGUUAUAUAUAAGGCAUGAUGUUGAACAUUUAAGAUAUUGAAGUUAUUUA